AGUGAACGCUGGCGGCGUGCCUAACACAUGCAAGUCGAACGAUGAUGGAGAGCUUGCUCUCCUGAUUAGUGGCGCACGGGUGAGUAAUGCAUAGAUAAUGUGCCCCUUAGUUCGGGAUAGCCACUGGAAACGGUGAUUAAUACCGGAUACUCCUUCUUGUUAUAAGACAAGUCGGGAAAGUUUUUCGCUAAGGGAUCAGUCUAUGUUCCAUCAGCUAGUUGGUGAGGUAAUGGCUCACCAAGGCAAUGACGGAUAUCUGGUUUGAGAGGAUGAUCAGACACACUGGAACUGAGACACGGUCCAGACUCCUACGGGAGGCAGCAGUGAGGAAUAUUGCACAAUGGAGGAAACUCUGAUGCAGCAACGCCGCGUGGAGGAUGACGCAUUUCGGUGUGUAAACUCCUUUUAUUAGGGAAGAUUAUGACGGUACCUAAUGAAUAAGCACCGGCUAACUCCGUG
rnacentral:rRNA from 1 species